GGGGCGAGGGCGAAGGCGGGGCUUCCGGACGAAAAGAUGCCCCAGAGGUGCUGUUCCCGCGCUAACCAGUCCGGGGAGGUUUCAGUGGGCCAUGCGGUCUCGAUCGCAGCCCAGCCAGGGACCUGGCGUCGCCAAGACGUGGUCUUCGACAUUUGCUGCACCUUAGAGUCGCCAGGGGCAGCUAUUACAAGUCUCAGUGCCUAGAGUACACCUCAAGUCGGUGAAAUCAGACACUGGGGAAAUGAGGCACAAGCCUUAGUAUUUGUAAAAACACCCCAGAGAAUUCCAAGGAGCAGCCAAGUUUGUGUGGAAGAAACAGUGACCCUGUCUUCUGGGUCUUACAGCCUCUCUAGGUGUCAAGGUUAACUUCUGGAUGUCCCCAAGUCAGAAUUAACUAAGAGCCUCAUUGUAGAAUUAGGAUUGAGGAUCUCUGUAAACAACAGGAUUGCAUUUCUGGGCAUUUGGGGAAACAUUUAUUCUAAAGUUUUGACCAAUGACAAGUGACCAGCUGAUCCAAUAAGUUUUGGGAAAGCUUCAUAGAUCUCUGGUGCCGAAAAGUCUUCAUUCAGAAGACGGAGGGCCCAUUAAAAUAGAUGGGGCCAAUUUUCAAUAUCAUGAAAAUGGCCAUACUGCCCAAGGUAAUUUAUAGAUUCAAUGCGAUCUCCAUCAAGCUACCAAUGACUUUCUUCACUGAAUUGGAAAAAACUAAUUUAAAGUUCAUAUGGAAUCAAAAAAGAGCCCGCAUUGCCAAGACAAUCCUAAGCCAAAAGAACAAAGCUGGAGGCAUCAUGCGACCUGACUUCAAACUAUACUACAAGGCUACAGUAACCAAAACAGCAUGGUACUGGUACUAAAACAGAGAUAUAGACCAAUGGAACAGAACAGAGCCUUCAGAAAUAAUAUCACACAUCUACAACCAUCUGAUCUUUGACAAACCUGACAAAAAUAAGAAAUGGGAAAAGGAUUCCCUAUUUAAUAAAUGGUGCUGGGAAAACUGGCUAGCCAUAUGUAGAAAACUGAAACUGGAUCCCUUCCGUACACCUUAUACAAAAAUUAAUUCAAGAUGGAUUAAAGACUUAACUGUUAGACCUAAAGCCAUAAAAACCCUAGAAGAAAACCUAGGCAGUACCAUUGAGGACAUAAGCAUGGGCAAGGACUUCAUGACUAAAACACAAAAAGCAAUGGCAACAAAAGCCAAAAUAGACAAAUGGGAUCUAAUUAAACUAAAGAUCUUCUGGACAGCAAAAGAAAUUACCAUUAGAGUGAACAGGCAACCUACAGAAUGGAAGAAAAUUUUCACAAUCUACCCAUCUGAAAAGGACUAAUAUCUAGAAUCUACAAAGAACUUAAACAAAUUUAUAAGAAAAAAUCCAACAACCCCAUCAAAAAGUGGGUGAAGGAUAUGAACAGACACUUUCAAAAGAAGACAUGUAUGCAGCCGACAGACACAUAAAAAAAUGCUCAUCAUCACUGGCCAUCAGAGAACUGCAAGUCAAAACCACAAUGAGACACCAUCUCACACCAGUUAGAAUGGCAAUCAUUAAAAAGUCAGGAAACAAAUGCUGGAGAGGAUAUGGAGAAAUAGGAACACUUUUACACUGUUGGUGGGACUGUAAAGUAGUUCAGCUAUUGUGGAAGACAGUGUGGCGAUUCCUCAAGGAUCUAGAACCAGAAAUACCAUUUGACCCAGCCAUCCCAUUACUGGGUGUAUACCCAAAGGAUUAUAAAUCAUGCUGCUAUAAAGACACAUGCACACAUAUAUUUAUUGUGGCACUAUUCACAAUAGCAAAGACUUGGAACCAACCCAAAUGUCCAUCAAUGAGAGACUGGAUUAAGAAAAUGUGGCACAUAUACACCAUGGAAUACUAUGCAUCCAUAAAAAAGGAUGAGUUCAUGUCCUUUGUAGGGACAUGGAUGAAGCUGGAAACCAUCAUUCUGAGCAAACUAUCCCAAGGACAGAAAACCGAACACUAUAUGUUCUUACUCAUAAGUAGUAAUUGAACAAUGAGAACACGUGGACACAGGGUGGGGAACAUCACACACCAGGGCCUGUCUUGGGGUGGGGGAGGAGGGAGGGAUAGCAUUAGGAGAUAUACCUAAUGUAAAUGACGAGUUAAUGGGUGCAGCACACCAACAUGGCACAUGUAUACAUAUGUAGCAAACCUGCAUGUUGUGCACAUGUGCCCUGGAACUUAAAGUGUAAUAAAAAUAAAUAAAUAAAAAUAGGCUGGCCUUAGUCAAUCAUUGCCAAUGAAUAGACUAUUUCAAAAGCAAUAUUUUGUGAAUUCCAAGGCUAGUUCAUAGAAAAUGGUACAGCUUACACCUCUCUCUUUAUAUUAGAACACUCAACUUUGGUUCUCAAGGCUUAUGCUGUAGAAUGAAUGUUUAUGUCCCUCCUCAAAUUCUUAUUUUGAAACCUAACCACCAAGGUGAUGUUAUUAGAACACAAGCCCUUUGGGAGUUUAUUGGGUCAUGAGGGCACACCUUAUGAAUGGUAUUAGUGCUCUUAUAAAAGACACCCCAAAGAACUGCUGCACCCCUCUGCCUGUGAGGUCAUUCUGCCAUACAGCCAUCUAUCAACUAGGAAUCAGGCUCUCACCAGACACUGAAUAUGCUAGCACCUUGAUCUUUGACUUCCCAGCCUUCAGAAGUGUGAAAAAUAAAUUUAUGUGGUAUAUAUGUUCCUAGUCUGUGGUAUUCUGUUACAGCAGCCUGAAUGGAGUAAGAUAGCUAAAUUUCUGCUGAGUGUGGCCAAAGUUUGGGGACUCCCUUCCUCUACCUAGCCCCUACUCCCAGGAUAGAGGUUCUACCCUAGGCUUGGCAGAACAAGACCAACAGGGUCCCAAUCACCUCUGCUGCUGCUCACUCAUUGAGCAGAAGUUUCAUGCCAAGAUAGGCAAGCUAAAAAGGCCAGCAGCCACUAUUCUCAUCCAGCACCACAGUACUGGUUCAAAUGUUCUGCCCAUGAGGAGAGAGACAGCCUUUAAGAACAGAGUCCUGAAGUUCUGCAGAAAGGAACUGACUUUGAGACGGUGUAGGGACGUUCAAGCCUAAGGGUGCCUUGAAAACAAUGGAGAUUUUGGUGUAAAGCAAACAAGAGGAGGUUGGUAUCUCCUCUUAACUAAUCAGAACAAAACCAUUUAGUUCACCAGAGAGAACCAGAAGAGAUAGCCAAGAAGAGUCCUCCUGGGAUUAAAACAAACUUCAAAUUUGUUUUAAUUUGCCUGACAGAUUGACUUCUGGCAUGACAGCAUGAGGACCUCUGCUGACUCUAUCCCCAGUGAAAUUAUUAAAAAGCCUUAAAAGUAUUAAAAAGCAAUGACUUGAAGCCUCUGAAAAUGGUCCUCAGGGCAAAUAGCAAACAAUGAAACAGUUAUCAUAUGGUCCUAUUUUUACAAAAGUAUUUCCUCCUCUGUAGCUAUUUCUUUAAUCACAUACAUGAUUUUAAAAAAUGUUCUGUCAAAUGGUGCUCAACUAAUAACUAUGAUUAAUUCUCAGCAAUGGGAUGUGGUGUGAUUUUUAUUUUCAUUUUUGCCUUUUUAUGCACUCUGAGUUUUUAUUUGUAAGCAUCUAUCAUUUUAAUAAAAAAGUAAAUCAGCAUGAGUUUUUAUAAAAAAGGAAGGUUGGGCUGGGUGCAGUGGCUCACACCUGUAACCUCAGCACUUUGGGAGGCUGAGGCAAGUGGAUCACUUGAGGCUAGUAGUUCAAGACCAGCCUGGUCAAUACAGUGAGACCCAAUUUCUACAAAAAACAAAAUUUAAAAAUUAGCUGGUUGUAAAAAAAAUUACCUGGGUAGCAUGCACCUGCAGUCCCACCUCAGAAGGCUGAGGUGAGAGGAUUGCUUGAGCCCAAGAGUUCAAGGUUACAGUGAACUAUGAUUGUGCCACUGGACUCCAGCCUGAGUGACAGAGCAAGACCUUGUCUCUAAAAAGAAAAAAAAAAAGCAAACAAAAAAAAAGGGGAGGAGGGGAGUUUGGACAAGAAGCAAAUAUGCCAAGCAGGUAACAUACAUUGCUGUGACAUUAUAGGAUGUUUUCUGUAUUUUCCUUUUUAAAAAUUAUUUAAUUACUUUAUUUUUUAUAAAUAGAGACGAGAUCUCACUGUGUUACCUAAGCUGGUCUCAAACUCCUGUACUCAAACGAUCCUCCCACCUCAGCCUCCCAAAGUGCUGGGAUUACAGGCAUGAUCCACUGCACCUGGCCUGUAUUUUCAAUAGACAUAAGUGAGGCACACACUGUCUUAGCUCAGGCUGCUAUAAGAAAAUAUCAUAGACUGGGUGGCUUAAACGACACACAUUUAUUUCUCACUGUCUUAGAGGCUGGGAAGUCCGAGAUCAAGGUGCCAGCUGAUUGAGUUCCUGAUAAGGGCCCACUCCCUGACUCCCAGGUAGCUGCCUUCUCAUUGUGUCUUCACGUGGUGAACACAGAGAGAGAGAGAGAUCGUCCUCUUCAUAUAAGGCUACUAAUCCUAUAAGCCCCACCCUUGAGACUUCAUUAACCUUAAUUACCUCCUAAAAGCUGUAUUUCCAAAGUCAGUCAUGUUGGAAGUUAGGGCUUCAACAUGUGAAUUUUGGGGAAACACAAUUCAGUCUAGAGCACAUAGAUACAAUUUUUUUGUUUUACUAUGAAAGGCUAAACUUUUAUGUCUCCAGCUGUUAGUGUCUAGCAUUUUAAUGUGACAGAAUGUGUUUAGAGAAUAAGAGGAUAAAAUAAGGGGGGAAGGAACAAAGACACACACAACAAAAUUUAUUUAACGAUGUCCAAUAAUAGUAAGAAAAACUUUCCUCCUCCAGGUUGCAGUGAGUCGAGAUUGUGCCAUUGCACUCCAGCCUGGGCAACAAGAGGGAAACUCCGUCUCAAAAAAAAAAAAAAAAAAAAAAAGAAUAGAAAAA